rnacentral:rRNA from 1 species
GACGAACGCUGGCGGCGUGCCUAAUACAUGCAAGUAGAACGCAGUUGCGAACGGGUGAGUAACGCGUAGGUAACUGCCUCAUAGCGGGGGAUAACUAUUGGACACGAUAGCUAAUACCGCAUACUGUGAGAUGGACCUGCGUUGGAUUAGCUAGUUGGUGAGGUAAAGGCUCACUAAGGCGACGAUACAUAGCCGAACUGAGAGGGUGAUCGGACAAACUGGGACGGAGACACGGCCCAGACUCCGACGGGAGGCAGCAGUAGGGAAUUGUCGGAGAUGGAAGGAAGGAUGACCGAGCAACGCCGCGAGAGGGAAGAAGGUUUUCGGAUCGUAAAGAUCGGUUGUUAGAGAAUCGGUAACUAACCAGAAAGGGACGGCUAACUACGUGCCAGCAGCCGCGGUAAUAC